CCUACGGGGGGCAGCAGUGGGGAAUAUUGGACAAUGGGCGAAAGCCUGAUCCAGCCAUGCCGCGUGUGUGAAGAAGGCCUUCGGGUUGUAAAGCACUUUCAGUGGGGAAGAAAGCCUUGGGGCUAAUACCCUCGAGGAAGGACAUCACCCACAGAAGAAGCACCGGCUAACUCCGUGCCAGCAGCCGCGGUAAUACGGAGGGUGCGAGCGUUAAUCGGAAUUACUGGGCGUAAAGCGCGCGUAGGCGGUCUGAUAAGCCGGUUGUGAAAGCCCCGGGCUCAACCUGGGAACGGCAUCCGGAACUGUCAGGCUAGAGUGCAGGAGAGGAUGGUAGAAUUCCCGGUGUAGCGGUGAAAUGCGUAGAGAUCGGGAGGAAUACCAGUGGCGAAGGCGGCCUUCUGGACUGACACUGACGCUGAGGUGCGAAAGCGUGGGUAGCAAACAGGAUUAGAUACCCGAGUAGUC
rnacentral:rRNA from 1 species